GCUGAAAAUCUUUAUUUUUAACCCUUUUAUUACAUACAUUUUUUUAAAAUUAAUCAAUGUAAUUUUUAACAAUUUGUAAACCUUUUCUUUUGUUUAGAACUUUUUUUUUAAAACCACAUCCAUGCCUAGCCAGGGUAUUCCACACGUCUACCCAUCUGUUUUAAUCUUCUUUGGCACUUGUUCACCCAAAGAUCUGGAUAUCUUGAACUGGUUUGCUCUACCAUUAUUAUUUAUUGAACUUUACUUUUCGGGGCGCGCUUAAAAGCGAAAUUAAUUCAAAAAAUUUCAAUACAAUUAAAGGAAUUUAUUUUUCGGGUUGAUCUUAACUUCCCGUGCGAUCUGUAUGCCGCUCACAGUAAUGACCAUAAAAAUCAUACAAAAUAAUCGAUUCGCCACAGUCAUAACCAGCGACGACGACCAGUCCCAUAUGCACUUUGCCGUUAACAGGCUUUUGGUUUUUAUGGCCUUAGUGGCAUUUCAGUACAACAACAACAACAACAACAACAAAUAUAACAACUCAUUACCAAUUAUGCUAAUCGGAUGAGAGAGGGUGAGGGAAGAGAGGCUGCAGCAACAGGUUGAGUUGGCGAUCUGUUUGCGAUCGAUCAAAGAAUAAAUGGAAUUACUCGAUGGACAGAUCUACGAGAUAGAUGUGUAUGUAUCUCUGCAAUCGAAAGAGUUCUUUUUUGUUUCUCUCCUGUAAUCGAUACUGUUUUGCAUAUUUAUAAGUAGAUUUUUUUUUUUUUGAUUUUUCUUCGAUUCGAUCCACGAUCGACGAUCUGUUGCUGUUUCUGUUUCUGCGCUCUCUGUCUACAGUUUAUGUUAAUUGCAUUUCGCAUUCGCAUUCGCCAUCGCCAACUCGCGCUCUAUGAAAUUAAUACUUUUUAUCGCCUGCUCCAUCGCCGCGAACUUGUAGCUCACAUGUUAGCUGUAAAUUAAGUUGACAACUAGGCGGCUGCCACUGUCUGGAGUGCUGCCACGAUUGAAAGCCAGAGAGCUGUGGUUGGAACUGAUUGGGAAAUCGAUGUACAGAAUGCUGCUCAUAUUUUGACUAUGAAAAGUAGCUAAAUAAAAAGCAAAUCUACACACAUUAUUCAGCCAUUUGCCACACAUUUUGUAUCUUUACUUUUCUGCAUAAAUGCUUCUCCAGCUUUCAGUUUUCCGCCCAAGAAUAAACCCAAGAUUUCAGCCUUUCAUUUCUCACACUCAAAGCAACGCCGCCGCCGCUGCUGCGGCCCCUUCAAUAGACCCGUCAAGUGCCGCAGCCCAAAGCCUAUAGAUAUGCCCCAUCAUGGCGUAUCCCUCUCGUGUGUGUGUAGAUAUCUGUUUGCUUGGCUAUCCGUCAGUUGGGUGUACACUUUACAGCGCAAAUAGGCAGCCACUGCCAUUAGCUUUUGGGGCAAAAAACUCUGUCCCGGUUUUGCCAA
rnacentral:lncRNA from 1 species